rnacentral:misc_RNA from 1 species
UGAUCUAACUGCAAGCCAUAAAUACAUUCAAAUCCAGUUAGAAGGUGGUGUGGAUUGUGCUCUUGAAAAUCCACCUUGAUACAAUAAAUAUAAUGCUGCACAAACUAUAUAAAGGUGCCUUUGUAAAUAUAUAUCCAUCCGUGGUUUGCCAUAUAAUUGUGGAUUACUACAAGGUUGCAUGAGACUUCAAUGAAUACAAGCAGAUUGAAAUUUGUACUGUAGUUUUCCCUAAAAAAGGAAAAAAGCAUCAUAGUGGACAGGAUGGAUCCCUUACCUCAGCGGAAAGAAUAAAAUUGAG